rnacentral:rRNA from 1 species
CGAGAGGCGGACGGGUGAGUAACGCGUGGGAAUCUGCCCUGAACUGAGGGAUAAGCACCGGAAACGGUGUCUAAUACCGCAUAUGGUCUUCGGAUCAAAGCUUCGGCGGUUUGGGAGGAGCCUGCGUCUGAUUAGUUUGUUGGUAGGGUAAUUGCCUACCAAGACGAUGAUCAGUAGCUGGUCUGAGAGGAUGAUCAGCCACACUGGAACUGAGACACGGUCCAG